AUCUUUUUGAAGGCUAUAAAUAGAGACUUCGAAAAUGUGUUACUGGCAUCAUUGAUCUGAUCAAUGGAGUAUGAAAUCGAGAGGAAGAGAGGUCUUACAUGUAGAUAAGAGAGUUUUUGUUUGGUAGCCAAGGAUGACUUGCCUCGCACAUCCUAAUCUUGAGGACAAUUUUCAAAUUAUAUAUGCAUGUGUAUAUAUAUUCACAUGCACGAUCCUUAAAUUAGGGUUCGGGCAGGCAAGUCAACUUGGCUAGGCUGACAGUCUCUUGUCUCUCAUGCUGGGCCUUCUUUUCUUCCAAUUAAGAAAAAUGCUUGUUGGGGGUACUACUGCAUGCCAUAAACUCUCUACGAAAUGAAUGCAAAUUAAUAUGAUCAUCGAGAUCCAUUUGAAGAAGCCAGUUUUCUAGACAGAUAUCUGAAAAUGAGAUAAAUACUUUGUCAAUGUUCAACAUUUUAUUCUCUUAAAGAUGGGAGGAGUUAAUUCAGAUGGUUAUCAUGUUUACCUGAUAAGAUGAAGAUGCCCUAAUUAAUUUCAAAAUGCCCCAUCGAUCCCUCCCUCGGUGAUUACCCAAUAAGACUAAACUAAAAGCUACAUAUCUUUUUCUAAACUAUUCCUCAGAUUUAAAGCUAUUAGCUCAACAAAAAAUAAAAAAUAAAAGGAGAAAAUUCUCCAACCAGCCUAUAGGGCGCCGCCUUAUACCUUGUUGCAAUAUCCUCGGCCACCCUUUCACUGCUUCACCCACAUAUUGAUCACCAAUGUCUUUCUCAAAUCUCACUUCAUCCUGAGCUCUUUUCAGCUUGUUAAUUUGCUUUUUCAAAAUGUUUUUGGAGCAAUGACCGUCGACUGAAGUUCACUGGCCCUUCAAAACUUCACGGCCAAAGUUUGCCAGAACUGCAUGUGUUGCCAAUGCAGCACACGAGUUCCGGCACUGCUUGUUCGAAGUGUCUUGGGGAGUCGAUUGCACAUCUUUCGGAAUGUUGUGGGGAGAGUGCAGGAGGCCAGGAGCUAGGGUUUGUAGUUGGACUCGUGAGGUGAGAUAUAUAUGAGAACCACCAAUUUUUCGAUGCCUAGAUGGAGUUGGAACCAUCUGGGAUCGCAUUGGAAAAUGAACUCUCCUAUGUACAUCUAACAUUCUCCAAUAGUAAAUGUCGUGUUUUGUGAGAAUCUGUUACUUUCUGCUUUUGUAUCCCGUGCAUAGUGUUUCAAGUUUCAUCUGAGCUGGUGCACCAUUGAAAUAAAGUUCAGUUGUUCCUUUGUUGUA